rnacentral:rRNA from 1 species
AGCUAAUAGAUACCCGGGUAGUCCUGGCCUUAAACGAUGGAUGCUUGGUGUCUGGAGUUUUAUAGUCUCCGGGUGCCGUAGCUAAACGCGUUAAGCAUCCCGCCUGGGGAGUACGGUCGCAAGACUGAAACUCAAAGGAAUUGACGGGGGACCCGCACAAGCGGUGGAGCAUGUGGUUCAAUUCGACGCAACGCGAAGAACCUUACCUGGGCUAGAAUGCCUCUGACAACUCCAGAGAUGGAGCUUUCUAGGGAAACCUAGACGGAGUGCAAGGUGCUGCAUGGCUGUCGUCAGCUCGUGUCGUGAGAUGUUGGGUUAAAUCCCGCAACGAGCGCAACCCUUAUCGGAUAGUUGCUAGCGGUUCGGCCGAGCACUCUAUUGAGACUGCCGUUGACAAACGGUGAAGUGGGA